GACGCUGGCGGUAGGCUUAACACAUGCAAGUCGAGCGAGAAAGUAUCUUCGGAUAUGAGUAGAGCGGCGGACGGGUGAGUAACGCGUAGGAAUCUACCUAGUAGAAGGGGAUAGCCCGGGGAAACUCGGAUUAAUACCGUAUACCUCCUAAGGGAGAAAGAGGGCCUCUCUUGAUGCUCUCGCUACUAGAUGAGCCUGCGUAAGAUUAGCUUGUUGGUAAGGUAAUGGCUUACCAAGGCUACGAUCUUUAGCUGGUCUGAGAGGACGAUCAGCCACAUUGGGACUGAGACACGGCCCAGACUCCUACGGGAGGCAGCAGUGGGGAAUAUUGGACAAUGGGCGCAAGCCUGAUCCAGCCAUACCGCGUGUGUGAAGAAGGCCUUCGGGUUGUAAAGCACUUUAAGCAGGGAGAAAAAGCAAUAAGUUAAUACCUUAUUGCCGUGAUGUUACCUGCAGAAUAAGCACCGGCUAAUUCCGUGCCAGCAGCCGCGGUAAUACGGAAGGUGCAAGCGUUAAUCGGAAUUACUGGGCGUAAAGCGCGCGUAGGUGGUUUGUUAAGUUGGAUGUGAAAGCCCUGGGCUCAACCUAGGAACUGCAUCCAAAACUAACUCACUAGAGUACGAUAGAGGGAGGUAGAAUUCAUAGUGUAGCGGUGGAAUGCGUAGAUAUUAUGAAGAAUACCAGUGGCGAAGGCGGCCUCCUGGAUCUGUACUGACACUAAGGUGCGAAAGCGUGGGUAGCGAACAGG
rnacentral:rRNA from 1 species